rnacentral:lncRNA from 1 species
GAAGGAAAGCCAUGAAGAAUGCAGAAGUCAAACCCUCAUGACAAAGUAGGCACAAGUCUACAAUAAGCUAAAUCAGAAUUUACAAAUACAAGUGUCCCAGGUAGCAUUGACUCCCGUCAUUGGAGUGAAAUGGAUCAAAGUUUGAAUUAAGGCCUAUGGUAAGGUAACAUUGCUUUGUUGUACUUUUGAACAAGAGCUCCUCCUGAUCACUAUUACAUAUUUUUCUAGAAAAUCUAAAGUUCAGAAGAGAAUGUAUCACUGCUGACUUUUAUUCCAAUAUUUGGAUGGAGUAAGUUUUAGGGUAGAAUUUUGUUCAGUUUGGAUUUAAUCUUUUGAAAAGUAAAUUCCUUGUUUACUGGUUUGACUAUAAUUCUCUGUUAUCUUUACGAGGUAAAACUGCAAGCUGACUAGCAUGUUCUGUGAAUCUGCCAUUCCUAAAAAUUUUAUAAACACUUGAUACUUUUCACUGAUAAUGGAUCGCUCCAAU